CCUACGGGUGGCUGCAGUAAGGAAUAUUGGUCAAUGGGGGCAACCCUGAACCAGCCAUGCCGCGUGCAGGAAGACGGCCCUAUGGGUUGUAAACUGCUUUUGAACGAGAGAAAACCCCGGUACGAGUACUGGGUUGAUAGUAUCGUUAGAAUAAGCAUCGGCUAACUUCGUGCCAGCAGCCGCGGUAAGACGAAGGAUGCAAGCGUUAUCCGGAUUCAUUGGGUUUAAAGGGUGCGUAGGCGGACUGAUAAGUCAGUGGUGAAAUCUCUCAGCUU
rnacentral:rRNA from 1 species